ACGAGGAAGCCGGUGCGACGCCGGCACGGUCCCGCCACUGUGACGCCCGACCCGAGCCCGGGGCGGCCGAAGUCAGGAACUC
rnacentral:ncRNA from 2 species